rnacentral:rRNA from 1 species
UACGUAGGGUCCGAGCGUUGUCCGGAAUUACUGGGCGUAAAGAGCUCGUAGGUGGUUUGUCGCGUUGUUCGUGAAAACUCACAGCUCAACUGUGGGCGUGCGGGCGAUACGGGCAGACUUGAGUACUGCAGGGGAGACUGGAAUUCCUGGUGUAGCGGUGGAAUGCGCAGAUAUCAGGAGGAACUCCGGUGGCGAAGGCGGCACGCUGGACCCGAUCUGACGCUGAGGCGCGAAAGCCAGGGGAGCAAACGGG